CCCUAGCCCUGAUAGCAAUGGAAAUCCUUAUUGGUUUUGCUUUCAAAAACAAUAAGAUUGAAAUGGAUAGCGGGAAAUAGC
rnacentral:sRNA from 1 species